rnacentral:tRNA from 1 species
GCAAUAGCUCAGUUGGUUAGAGCGUGGUGAUGAUAACGCCAAGGUUGAAGGUUCAAUACCCAUAAGGAACA